CAUACAGCUCAGUAACUAGUGGCUAACCUGCCCUUGGGACGAGAACACCCCCGGGAAACUGGGGCUAAUUCGCGAUAGGCGAAGAACUCUGGAAUGAGUCUUCACCUAAAAGGCAUUGCGUUAUGCUCGUAGUGUCGCCCAAGGAUGGGGCCGCGACCGAUCAGGUUGUUGGUGAGGUAAUGGCUCACCAAGCCUUUUACCGGUGCGGGCCGUGGGAGCGGGAGCCCGGAGAUGGGCACUGAGACAAGGGCCCAGGCCCUACGGGGCGCAGCAGGCGCGAAAACUUCGCAAUGCGCGAAAGCGUGACGAGGUCAGCCCGAGUGCCGUCCGCUGAGGACGGCUUUUCUUUGGUCUAAGGAGCCAGGGGAAUAAGAGGAGGGUAAGUCUGGUGUCAGCCGCCGCGGUAAUACCAGCUUCUCGAGUGGUGGGGGCGAUUAUUGGGCCUAAAGCGUCCGUAGCUUGCUUGUCAAGUCUUCCGUCAAAUCCGACGAUUCAAUCGUUGGUCCGCGGAGGAUACUGUCAAGCUUGGGGGCGGAAGAGGCUGGCGGUAUUCCCAGGGUAGGGGUGAAAUCCUAUAAUCCCGGGAGGACCACCAGUGGCGAAGGCGGCCAGCUAGCACGCGCCCGACGGUGAGGGACAAAAGCUGGGGGAGCAAACC
rnacentral:rRNA from 1 species